rnacentral:rRNA from 1 species
GAUGAACGCUGGCGGCGUGCCUAAUACAUGCCAGUCGAGCGAACAGACGAGGAGCUUGCUCCUCUGACGUUAGCGGCGGACGGGUGAGUAACACGUGGAUAACCUACCUAUAAGACUGGGAUAACUUCGGGAAACCGGAGCUAAUACCGGAUAAUAUAUUGAACCGCAUGGUUCAAUAGUGAAAGACGGUUUUGCUGUCACUUAUAGAUGGAUCCGCGCCGCAUUAGCUAGUUGGUAAGGUAACGGCUUACCAAGGCAACGAUGCGUAGCCGACCUGAGAGGGUGAUCGGCCACACUGGAACUGAGACACGGUCCAGACUCCUACGGGAGGCAGCAGUAGGGAAUAUUCCGCAAUGGGCGAAAGCUUGACGGAGCAACGCCGCGUGAGUGAUGAAGGUCUUCGGAUCGUAAAACUCUGUUAUUAGGGAAGAACAAAUGUGUAAGUAACUAUGCACGUCUUGACGGUACCUAAUCAGAAAGCCACGGCUAACUACGUG